rnacentral:lncRNA from 1 species
GCUCAAUUACCCCUUAUCAGUUGGUGGAGACAUGUGGCAUGGGUGUCUCAGAUAGAGUGUUUCUGUGUUGCUCACACUGGUCUUGACCUAUUGGCCUCAAGCAAUCCUCCCACUUCAGCCUCCCAAAGCGCUGAGAUUACAGGUAUGAGCCACCACGCUCGGCUGUAUUUUUAGUUUUUAAGGGCACCUCCAUGCCAUCUUCCAAAGUGGCUGCACCUGCUGAGACACUAUGACUCUCGCCAGUGAAAAAAACAACAAAAAAUUCAGCAAAGUGGCUGUAACAUUUUGCGUUUCCACCAACAGUAUACAAGGUUCUAGUUUCUCCACAUCUUCUUGCUUCCUGUUUAAGCUGGAACUUCCUCAGGUCUUCAGGGUUAGGUUUAACUAUCCUGUUUUUAUUUUUUAUUCAGUUUUGGAACUGUGGCUCACGGUAUUCUGUGUAUCACAUCAAACUCUAUGGACUGAACCCCCUCUAAUCCUAUUUUACUUGUGAUUCUUCCCAGAAGAACCUACUUUGUUGCAGAAAAAACUGAAGCUAAUGUUCAUGGCCUUGCCAGAGCUGUCUGCAAAAUGCACCAGCCAAAUGGAAUUAUGCAAAGUUUAUGGAAGAGGCCCAAUUAAAUUCAAAAAGCUGGUAUUGUGUUCUCAAUUGUGCCAACAUGGUGCUAGGCACUGGGGAUACCAAACUAAGUAAGAAUACAGCUUAAACAAAUAAUGACAUAAUGUAAGUAACGUGGUAUAAUAGACAUGAAGUAUAUGGAUAUCGGGGGGAAAGGUAUGAAUGGUGAUCCUGAAAAGUUAGAUUGGAGGGUAGGCAAACAGUUGAGCUAAGCCUUGAAAAGUUAGUAGGCAAGUGUACCAGGCCAACACGAGGACGUAUUCUAUAAUCUGUACCAUGGCUGGUAAAUAUGGGUACACUUGGCACCAUUCCCAUUACUGCACCCAGGGCAGACAUUGCUAAAUGAAUGUAAUGUUCAACCAAUACAUGGUCUCAGAAUCUUUAUUAAUGGUGUUUCAAAGAGCACUACUAGUGCAUCCUAAAUGGUGUGCAAGGUCUUUGCCAUCUGCCCUUGAUUUAGAGCACCUUCUUCAAGUUUCCUUGUUUUGAACAAGCUAAUCAUAGUGACAUGAUUCAAUAGUAUUCCAAGACAGCUUCAGUGAGCCAAAGUUUGAAAGAAUUUGUCUCCUUUUUUAAUGUUUCCUUCCAGGUGGAGGGAAUGCAACUCAUGUGAAACAUCUGGUCCUCUCUGCCAGUGUUAUUUAUUCUUCUCUGGUAGAGUGAGACUAAACUAUCUGAUUGUUAAAUUUGCAAAGAAUAACUUGUAUGUACAUAGCUCAUCUCCCCAUAUUUUCCUUCUGGGAAGAGGAGGUCUCAGUAUCUCCAUUCUGUAUGUCUUUUCUGAGUAAGUGUUUGUCUUGGUGCAGCCUGCCCCACCCAGCCUGAAUGCCAUUCAGUGGGGCUCUUUGGUUUUUACUCAAAAAUAUAUCCUUGGGGAAAAUGAGACAGACAAAGUUAUAUUUCAGAAGAUUGUGUGUAAUAAAGAAAUAAAAGAAAUGUCACUGGGGGAAGAAGAAGGCAAAGCUUCUUUCUGCAUUUGUGUCAUGUACUUUCAAGCCAAAAAGGGAUCAUUAAGUUUGUUUACUCCAAAGAAUCAUGGGUAGUUCUAGAGGUAAGUCUGAAAGAACCGAGAAUCUCAAGGAAGAGCUGAUCAAUCCAGAGCUUUGGGGUUUGGCAGAAGGAAUGGGGUUACUACACUUCAAAAGGUCAGUUACUGCCAAGGCCAAGUAUGUCCUUCUUGGCUAGGGUCAUGUGGCUAACAUUUUCCACUGUGGUAAUGCCACAAUAUGUACACAAUUUCCCCUGGCUUUAUACCCUGGAGUUGAGAGUGUGCAGAUUGCUUUCAUAAUGGCCCCCAAUAUAUCAUGUCCCGUUGUGUCCAUACGUCUUUGCAUUGUGAUUUUUGUCACUCCUCCCAUCAAGAGAUGAAAAUGAUUUUCUGACCCUUUGAAUGUGGGUUGACCCUAUGACUUGCUUUGACCAAUAGAAAGUGGCAGAUGUGAUAUUGUAUGACAUUUGAGGAUAAGACAUAUGAGGCCUUGAAGCUUCCAUUUUCUCCCUCUUGGAAUUCCCAUCACUAUGUAAGGAAGCCUGAGAGAGACUACCACAUGAUGAAAACCAUGUAGAGAGAGUCAAGCUGCCAACCAGUACCUAAGCUCCAAACAUUCGAAUGAGGCCAUCUUAACUUCUUCAGGCCCAAUUAAACUGCCAGAUGAUUACAGUCACACAGACAACCUCAGACAACAGCAGAAGAACCACCCAGCUAACCCCAGCAACUCAAAGAAUCAGGAGAAAUAAUAAACCAUUGUCUUAAGC